GUAGGUGGCGAGCGUUAUCCGGAUUUACUGGGCGUAAAGCGUGUGCAGGUGGGCUGAUAAGUGGUGUAUGAAAUCGCCGCGCUCAACGUGGCGGGGUUAUGCCAGACUGCCAGUCUAGAGGCCGAGAGAGGGAUGUGGAAUUCCGGGUGUAGUGGUGAAAUGCGUAGAGAUCCGGAGGAACCCCAGAGGCGAAGGCGGCAUCCUGGCUCGGUACUGACACUCAGACACGACAGCAUGGGGAGCGAACGGGAUUAGAAACCCCGGUAGUCCAUGCCGUAAACGAUGCCAACUAGGCGCUGGCGGUCUCAACCCCGUCGGUGCCGCAGCAAACGCGAUAAGUUGGCCGCCUGGGGAGUACGGCCGCAAGGCUA
rnacentral:rRNA from 1 species